AUUGACCCUGGGCUUCCUAAAGGCAGCUGGGUGGACACAAGAUGUGGCUUAGGGCCCUCGUGUCCACCCAGCUGCCUUUAGGAAGCCCAGGGUCAAU